rnacentral:rRNA from 1 species
UACGAAGGGGGCUAGCGUUGUUCGGAAUUACUGGGCGUAAGCGCGCGCAGGCGGCUAUCCAAGUCAGUGGUGAAAGCCCGGAGCUCAACUCCGGAACUGCCAUUGAAACUGUUUAGCUUGAGGAUGAGAGAGGUGAGUGGAAUUCCCAGUGUAGAGGUGAAAUUCGUAGAUAUUGGGAAGAACACCGGUGGCGAAGGCGGCUCACUGGCUCAUUACUGACGCUCAGGCGCGAUAGCGUGGGGGAUCAAACAGG